rnacentral:rRNA from 1 species
UACGUAGGUGGCAAGCGUUGUCCGGAUUUACUGGGCGUAAAGGAUGCGUAGGCGGACAUUUAAGUCAGAUGUGAAAUACCCGAGCUUAACUUGGGUGCUGCAUUUGAAACUGGGUGUCUAGAGUGCAGGAGAGGUAAGUGGAAUUCCUAGUGUAGCGGUGAAAUGCGUAGAGAUUAGGAAGAACACCAGGGGCGAAGGCGACUUACUGGACUGUAACUGACGCUGAGGCAUGAAAGCGUGGGGAGCAAACAGG